CCUUACUGAGACUGACACCGCAAGCUACAACACGGUCACCCGCCGCGUGCGUACAUGAAUAAGAAACCAUACACACACACACGCCUAACACACACGUUUACUGCACUCAUCCACCCACAAAUAAACACAGACAUCCUGUUACCCAACUACAAUAAAGAAGUUCAAGAAGCUGUCUUCUCUGUGCCCUUCUCUCUGACCGGAGCUCUGUCGAAAGGGAAUUAUCAACCCAGCAACAUACACAUCCACUUCAGAGUGUCCCACUCUAUCACAAUAACACACUUGCAGGAUGGCGCACAUUAGAACCCGGCCACUUCGAGGUGCACCAUACGCCCGGGGCACACUUGUGCUGAGGAAGGUCAUCCCUGCAACCUUUCGUUUAUUUGGGAUUCCACUACUUUGACCCCAAAU